AAUGUGGCAUCGGAUAAGUAUAAUAGAUGGGUUUUCAUCUACCAAAAGAAGUCUAAGUAUAGAAAUACAUACCAUAUAUGGACCGUCAGAUUUAGAGAUUAAUGGCCACGAUAUGGAAUGACUCCUUGUUUUGGUUGGGUUAUAAUAAGACGGAUUUGUGUCAUGUGAGGGGUAAAUUAGGAAUCAAAAAAAUUAGGAACCGUCAUUCCUUUUUUCAAGUGCGGAUUAAUUGGGAGUCAUUACUCCACACUUUAAACUCUUCCACUCUCCCUCAAAUCUUCUUCUUCUUCCACAAAAUUCAGAAAAACCCUACCUCCACACAAAGCGGCUACUCCACAAGAUCGGCUACUCCACAAAAUCGGAUACUCCACAAAAACCAUCAUCCUAAUUUACUAUUCUGAAAUCGACGAGGAUGGUGAACCAAAAGCCUACUUAAACAAUGAUCGACACUCGAGCUUCUGGAUCGGCAAGGCAUGACGGAAAAGUUUAUCAAAGAACGAUGGUAAAGAAGAAGAUACCGCCGAUCUCGAAAGCACCGAAAGGGUGUUUAGAUUACCACUAUUUUAAUUAAACGAUGUUUAGAGCUUGUAAUUCUCGUUUUUUAAACCAUGUUUAUAUGUCGGCUGGAUGUCAUUGUUACUAUAUAUUAUUUCAUCUGUAAGAUGAGAUAAACUUCCAUUACAAUGACCUUGGAAUGCUUUCCUCUUGUUUCUUGUA